GACGUAGGGCGCGAGCGUUGUCCGGAUUUAUUGGGCGUAAAGAGCUCGUAGGCGGCUCAUUGCGUCAACCGUGAAAACUCACAGCUCAACUGUGGGCGUGCGGGCGAUACGGGCAGACUUGAGUACUGCAGGGGAGACUGGAAUUCCUGGUGUAGCGGUGGAAUGCGCAGAUAUCGGGAAGAACACCCGUGGCGAAGGCGGCUCUCUGGGACGGUACUGACGCUGAGACGCGAAAGCGUGGGGAGCGAACAGG
rnacentral:rRNA from 1 species